rnacentral:rRNA from 1 species
CUGACCUGCAUUCGAUACGGUCGAGCUAGAGUGUGGUAGGGGAGACUGGAAUUCCUGGUGUAGCGGUGGAAUGCGCAGAUAUCAGGAGGAACACCGAUGGCGAAGGCAGGUCUCUGGGCCAUUACUGACACUGAGGAGCGAAAGCGUGGGGAGCGAACAGGAUUAGAUACCCUGGUAGUCCACGCCGUAAACGGUGGGCGCUAGUUGUGCGAACCUUCCACGGUUUGUGCGACGCAGCUAACGCAUUAAGCGCCCCGCCUGGGGAGUACGAUCGCAAGAUUAAAACUCAAAGGAAUUGACGGGGCCCCGCACAAGCAGCGGAGCAUGCGGCUUAAUUCGACGCAACGCGAAGAACCUUACCAAGGCUUGACAUAUACAGGAAUACGGCAGAGAUGUCGUAGCCGCAAGGUCUGUAUACAGGUGGUGCAUGGUUGUCGUCAGCUCGUGUCGUGAGAUGUUGGGUUAAGUCCCGCAACGAGCGCAACCCUCGUUCUGUGUUGCCAGCAUUUAGUUGGGGACUCACAGGAGACUGCCGGGGUUAACUCGGAGGAAGGUGGGGAUGACGUCAAAUCAUCAUGCCCCUUAUGUCUUGGGCUGCACGCAUGCUACAAUGGCUGGUACAAACGGCUGCAAUACCGCAAGGUGGAGCGAAUCCGAGAAAGCCAGUCUCAGUUCGGAUUGGGGUCUGCAACUCGACCCCAUGAAGUCGGAGUUGCUAGUAAUCGUAGAUCAGCAACGCUACGGUGAAUACGGUCCCGGGGCUUGUACACACCGCCCGUCACGUCACGAAAGUCGGUAACACCCAAAGUCAGUGGCCCAACCGUAAGGA